rnacentral:lncRNA from 1 species
UUCCAUGAUUAUCUUGGAUAGUUAUAUCAUUAAGAAUAGAAAAUUGGAAUAAUGGAAAUUUCUAGUUUCAGUGAAUAUCAAUCAUUGUCAAUACUAAACGUGCAGCAUCAUGAUCAUACAUCAUCUGAUUCACCUUGGAUAAUUAUUCAUUUGAAAUAAGAAUUUGGAUAUAAUAAGAGUUUCUAUGCUGCCAUUGCUAUUGUUGGCUACAUGUACCACCAGGGAGUGUUAAACCUCCUUUACUUUCCAUGAGGGUCUGUCACGGUCCAUCACUAUUGGUUAGUGUCAUAUAUAUGCAUGAUGAUGGAAGUUUUUACCAACCUAGACAAGCUUUAGUUUACAGCCCUGGCAUGGUUGUUGGUUAGAGUCGAAUGACAGCUUGCUGUAUAGUUAUAAUAGUCUGAAUGUAUCUACAUGUAUUUUAAUAAUCUUCUAAAUUACUGUUCAUUCUGAAACUGGCAUUUUAUAAUAGUAGUCAAACAUAUUAAACAAUACAUGUACUUCAAAGUAUCAUUUUAUUUUGUCUCGCC